AGGGCCACACCCAUGGCAUAUGGAGGUUCCCAGGCUAAGGGUCGAACUGGAGCUGUAGCUGCCAGCCUACGCCAGAGCCACAGCAACAUGGGAUCCAAGCCACGUCUGCGACCCACACCACAGCUCACGGCAACACCAGAUCCUUAACCCACUGAGCGAGGCCAGGGAUCGAACCCGCAACCUCAUGGUUCCUUGUCAGAUCUGUGAACCACUGAGCCACGACGGGAACUCCCGACUUGUUGAAAAUAAGAACUACCUCUUAUUUCUGUUUACUCCUGAUACGCAGCAGGCACUUGUGGGUAGGUGGGUGGAUGGCUGGAUGGCUGGAGUGGACUGGAUGAAUUUUGUCAGGGGGUACCAGGAAAGACACUGAGCCACAUGAGUAAGUGGUCUUUUCCCAGUUUCUAGGACUCUUCUGACUGGUCCGUGUGUUUAUCAUGGGGACAGUCCUUCCUCUCUGGUUAAUUCCACUGAUGGUCCCUCUGCUUUUGAUUAUGAAGCAUCGGGCUGCUCCCCUCCCACCAGAUCUUCUCUCCCUCCCCUUUGGUUUCAGGAGAAGAGAUAUUAAAAUGAUUCAUUUGGGCCCACAUGUUUACUGUGUCAGUAUAACUAAUUAAUGUUUUAACAGCAGAAUAACAAGUCCCAGAUUUCCCUCAGCAAAGCAAAACUGAAAGGAAACAGCAUACUGGGUGCACCAUAGCAUCCAAACCUACCAACUGGAAAGACACAACCACCAGGGGCUGAAUCUGACCCAGAAUUUGUGCUCUGAGAAAUUUAACCCAGUACUGCCAGGAUGGAGAGCCGCCUGGCACUCCUUCGCCCCCUGGGGACAUCCCAGCCUGUCCGUCCUCGGGAAUGACGAAGGGAUGGGAGUGGGGUCUCAUUUGUUGGUGUUGCCUCUGUGUCCAGCACCGUUUGACAUGCGGCAAAUAGCUGAUAAAUGUCUCGUGAAUAAACAGACUCCAGAGAGGGGAUAGGGGAUAAGGAGAUGCAUAGAAGCCUACUUAUACCAAGUGGGCUACACAGCUCAUAACUUCUGGAACCAGCUUUGGACCUUGGUCAGAAACAACCCCGCUCACUUUCUCUGUGCUAUGCUGCCUUCCAACAUUCGAGAAAAAUGUUUCAUGCCCUCUCUAUGAAACUCUGUGUUGCAAUAAAUAAUCUGAAUCACAGUUUCAAAUUUAAAAUGCCUCAAAUAAUCAACCACAUUUCAGCUACUGUGAAGAGGUUCUCAUAGCAACACUCUAAUGACCCCUGCAUGUUAAAUCGAUAUGGACGCAAGAGCUGUCAUUUACCCGUAGCAAAUUGGCACUAAAAGCAUAGGUUUCCUGGGCUGGAAAGGCGGAGAGCAAAAUGAACGCCAGAGUCUCCAAUUUGCUUGUUUUUCCAUAUGCACUCUCUCUGGCUGGAGAUAAAAGUUAAUCACUUUGAUGGCAUCAAGUACCAAUAACAACGUAUGUGCAAACAUAGCAGAGGGAGCUAUCUACCUUAUCCACUCAUUUAUUUGGCAUUAGGCACCAUGGAGACAAAGACAGUGGGUUCUUCCCUAUCCUCACGAAGCACAUUGCCCAUCGGGGAUACCUACGAGCAAUCUAUCACAGCACAACACGGCACGAGCACAAGGAGACCCGAGCCCAUGAUGUCACGGGAAGUCCUCGAGCAGGUUUCUCAAGAAGGUGAGAGGUUGUGACGAUAAGAAAAAAGAAUGGACUGUUUAAAAAGCAAGUGGAACCAAGAAUUAUAUCGGUUGAGACUAUAUUGAUAACACUAGCAGUUACCUAUUUAUUGAGUUGAGCUACCAUGAACCAGGUACCCAUGACAACUCACAGAGUUAGACUCUAUUCUUAUCCUCAUCAGAGAGCGGAGGAAACGGAAGCUUAGAUUCUUUAAAUAAUCUAUCCAUCUCGUAAGCUCCUAACCACGAGGAUGGGAAGACUGUGUCUAACAAUCACUGCCCCAAAUAUGACUCGAAAAUGAGGGGCACGCCUAUUGCUUAUCUGUUGUUAGGUAACACAUUACUCUCAGAACUGAGUGGUCUAAAACAACAAAUACUUAUUAUCUUGCAUGGGUCAAGAAUGCAGGAGCCGCUUAGCUGGGUUGUGCUGGCUCAAGAGCUCUCAAGCGUUUGCAGUCAAGAGGGCACGUGGGGGUGUGUUCAUCUGAAGGCCUGACUGGAGCUGGAAGAUCUCCUUCCAGGAGGAGUCCCUCACCUGGCUGCUGGCAGGAAGCCUCCAUUUUCUUGCUAGAUGAGCCUCCCCAGAGGAUGCAACACCCUCAUGACACGGCAGGUGGCUUCGCCCAGAACCAGCCGUCCAAAGGAGAGCAACAGAGAAGCCAUGAUGCCUUUUAUGACUUAGGCUCCAAAGUCUAACACCAUCACUUUCUCAACUUUCUAUUAAUUAGAAGUGAGUUGUUGGGAGUUCCUGUCAUGGCUCGGCGGUUAAUGAACCUGACUAGCAGCCAUGAGGAUGCAGGUUCGAUCCCUGGCCUCACUCAGUGGGUUAAGGAUCUGGUGUUGCCAUGAGCUGCGGUGUAGGUGGCAGACUCAACUCGGAUCCUGCAUUGCUGUGGCUGUGGUGUAGGCUGGUGGCUACAGCUCCGACUGGACCCCUAGCCUGGGAAGCUCCAUAUGCCAUGGGAGCAGCCCUAAAAAAGACAGAAAGACAACAAAAGAAGAAGUGAGUUGCUAAGCACAGCGCAUAACCAGAGGGAAGAAAAUCCCCCCCACCUUUUAAGUGGAGGAGAAUUUGUGGAUAUAUUCUCAAAAUCACCACUCUACCUCAGACUGGAAAUUAGAAGCAAUUGUGAGGACCCCUUCUAGAGAAAACGGUUUGCAUCUCGGAAAGAAGGAGAUGGAAAAUAAACCAGACCUGAGGUGCUGGGGGAAUAAGAUGGCACUGGGGGGCCGCCAAAGGGCUAGGAGGUUGCGCCCGUCUAUGAAGUGCUGAAGCGUAAUUAUUUUAGCGGAAGGGGUUGGGGGCGCAAUAAAAUUCAGUUUCAGAGACAGAAGUGUGUGGUUAAAAAAAUAAUUCUUUGGUGUUAUCCAUUUCUUUUGGUUCUCCCUGCUGUUGAGCAAAUGGUCUUAUGAAAAUGUUCAUUUACGUCUUAGAUGUGCCUCUGUAAAGGGGUCUGGGCUGGAAACAGGGGAACCAGGGUCUCGGGUGCGGAGCGGGGGACAGCAAGGAUCCGAGGGAGGGAGACCAGGAGGGCAGAGGAGGAAGAGCAGGACCCCUGGGUGAGCUGCUCGCACCAGAGAUUCUCGGCAGGGCUCUCCCGGGCACGUCCCCGACUUCGGAACCUUCUGUGCUCUGUUCAAAAGGGAGAGAGGCGCCCCCUCUUCAGCGUGUGAAGACUCUCGGUGGAAGUAAACCUCCUGGCACGGAAAGCUGAAUGUUAACACAUCAAUUUACAUGACCUCAUCGAUGCAACAUACAGACCAGGAGAAGGUCUUGCAGGCAGCGCUGGCACUGAGUUAGAGAAAGUGGCGGCUGCAAAGCCGAGAGGAAGCCUGGCACUGAGGCUACGUGAACUUCCGACGUCCAGCGGGAGUGGGAUUCAAACCCUAGUGCCGCCCCUUGCCAGCCGUGACGUCACGGGAGAGCACAUCCUUCCCACACCUGCUUUCCUUAUGGUAAAGAUGGGGGGGGGGGUGUACCAACAAUCUCACAGAGCAGCGAGGGUUUAAUGAGAGCUCUAAGCGCUCCGUGAAUGUCACAGGAUUAACCAUUAUUAAUGCACGACAGCGGCUAAGAUAUGAAGUUGACCUUUAGGAGUAAAAAGGGGACCAUUUGUUCACGUUCUGCAUCUCAGCAUACGGUUUAUGAGAAAAUCUCUCAGCGCUGGGCAGAGAACAGAUGGUGAGCCAGCCCCCUCCCCCAGCCUCCCUGACCUUCCGCGGCUUUGCUCUCUGGGGUCAGGGGACAGCCCCCGCCACCCCGGCUGGCAGGGACAAACACAAAGAGCCACUGUCCCUUGAAUGCUGGCAGCACUUCUAGACAUGGUAGGUUCUGGGAGGGAGCUACAGCCGUGCAUCCCCGUGGCCCUCUGGUUCUUUCAUUCCCAUGUCUCUGAGAUCCUGAGUUCUGGGUACAGCAAGAGCCUCUAUUCAACAGCAGCCUUCCGCAUCCCAGGAGUGAGGUGCAGGGGUGGCCCGAGGGCCUCCUGGCAUUGCAGGGAAAGGGACCCUGGGGCAGUCCCAGGACCAAAAGUCGGUGGCCGUCUCUGCAGGGCAGGGUGGGAAACCAUCGCUCCGGGGUUUUAU
rnacentral:lncRNA from 1 species